rnacentral:rRNA from 1 species
GACGAACGCUGGCGGCGUGCUUAACACAUGCAAGUCGAGCGGACGGACGAUAAGUUUGUGGCUCGGAUGUGAGGCGCGCAGGGGAGAGAAACGUGAGGAAAACCCACCUAUAAGACGGGGAUAAUCUCGGGAAACCGGAGCUAAUAGCGGAUAAGCUCCUGAAGCGUGUGGUUGGAAAGUGAAAGUCGGUGUUGCGGUCACGUCUAGAGGGAUCUGCGCUGCAUUAGCUAGUUGGUAAGUUAACGGGUUAUCACGGCAACGAUGCAUGGCCGAGCUGAGAGACUGAUCGGCCACCUGGGAGCUUAAACAGGCACCAGACGUCUGCGAGAGGCAGCAGUCUCGAAUCUGCCGCAACGGGCGAAAACCUGACGCAGCAACGCCGCGUGAGUUAUAACGGUCUUCGGAUCGUGAAACUCUUUUAUUAGGGAAAAACAUAUGUGUAAUGAGCUGUGGACUUCGUGACGGUACCUAAUCAAGAAGCAACGGCUAACUACGUG